rnacentral:rRNA from 1 species
CACGCUGUAAACGUUGAGAACUAGAUAUGGUGGGGCUGGCCCCCUCCGUGUCCAAGCAAACGCGAUAAGUUCUCCGCCUGGGGACUACGGCCGCAAGGCUAAAACUCAAAGGAAUUGACGGGGGCCCGCACAAGCGGUGGAGCAUGUUGCUUAAUUCGAGGCAACGCGAAGAACCUUACCCAGGUUUGACAUUAAUAUGACCGGUGGUGAAAGCCGCCUUCCCUUCGGGGCAUAUCAACAGAUGC